rnacentral:rRNA from 1 species
UACGAAGGGGGCUAGCGUUGCUCGGAAUCACUGGGCGUAAAGCGCACGUAGGCGGCUUUUUAAGUCAGGGGUGAAAUCCUGGAGCUCAACUCCAGAACUGCCUUUGAUACUGAGAAGCUUGAGUCCGGGAGAGGUGAGUGGAACUGCGAGUGUAGAGGUGAAAUUCGUAGAUAUUCGCAAGAACACCAAUGGCGAAGGCAGCUCGCUGGGACGGUACUGACGCUGAGACGCGAAAGCGUGGGGAGCAAACAGG